rnacentral:misc_RNA from 1 species
AACGAGGCCGACCUGCGGCUGAGUUACCUGCGGAAGGAUCAUUACAGAGUUCAUGCCCUCACGGGUAGAUCUCCCACCCUUGAAUACUAUACCUUUGUUGCUUUGGCGGGCCGCUUUGGCUACUGGCUCUGGCUAGUAAGUGCCCGCCAAAGAACCCCAAAACUCUGAAUAUUAGUGUCGUCUGAGUACUAUAUAAUAGUUAAAACUUUCAACAAUGGAUCUCAGAUCGGAAGAGCACAC